rnacentral:rRNA from 1 species
GACGAACGCUGGCGGCGUGCCUAAUACAUGCAAGUCGAACGCUUCUUUUUCACCGAACUUCGGUUCAUCGAAAAAGAGGAGUGGCGAACGGGUGAGUAACACGUGGGUAACCUGCCCAUCAGAAGGGGAUAACACUUGGAAACAGGUGCUAAUACCGUAUAAUGCUUUUUCUCGCAUGAGAGCAAGCUGAAAGGCGCUUUUGCGUCACUGAUGGAUGGACCCGCGGUGCAUUAGCUAGUUGGUGAGGUAACGGCUCACCAAGGCCACGAUGCAUAGCCGACCUGAGAGGGUGAUCGGCCACACUGGGACUGAGACACGGCCCAGACUCCUACGGGAGGCAGCAGUAGGGAAUCUUCGGCAAUGGACGAAAGUCUGACCGAGCAACGCCGCGUGAGUGAAGAAGGUUUUCGGAUCGUAAAACUCUGUUGUUAGAGAAGAACAAGGAUGAGAGUAAAAUGUUCAUCC